GCCUUGCAUUUAAUAACCCUCUAGGGCUAAGACAGCUUUGUGUGUAAGUCCACUCGGUGCCAUAUGGCAGUUUUCAAUUCCUUUAGCAACUCAAUUCUAGCUAGACUGCCCGCAAUGAUUCAUUCUUAAAGGAAGACCCCUUGGGGCUCAGUAAUGCCCCCUCCACUUACCUAGCUCCCACCGACCCCGCUCGGCAGGCGGCUCGGGCUCCACAAAGAGCUGUGGGAUUCCCCGCUCCCUCCGGGGCUCCUCUCCCCGCGACGGUCCCCUUCGCCAAUGAUCUGUCGCUGGAAAUCCCCCUCCCCUCCACGGAGAGGAGGGUCUCCCCGGCUGGCUGGAGCUCUUGCCUUUUUUUUUUUUUUCCACCCUCUCUUUACAUGCCUGACUCUGGUUCACGAUCUCUAGUAGGAAGGCUCAACGGAGAGGCGGCGGGAGGAAGGAAGCUAAGGCAUCCUUAAAAAGAACAAUAAUCUUCAGAGAUCUUCACCCCCUUCCCCAUCGCGGGUCCCCAUUCCCCUGCCGCCGCCGGCGGCGCCCAGACCAGAGAGGGCUGGGAUAGAAAAGGAAAAAAAAUCGAGCCGGGCUCAGCUCGCCGCGCGGAAGGAGCCGGGAAGGCGAGCGGCUCCAGCCGGGGGAGUUGUCGCUCGCUCGGGCUGCCCGCGGCGCGGCGGCCGGCGGGGGCGCAGGGCGGUGGGUGCUUGGUGGGUGUGUGUCUGUGGCGGAGCCGGGGAGAGGCUGGGCGCGGGAGGCGAGGCGGGGCGCUCGGGGGCGCCGGCUCGGGCGCGCACACCCGCCCGCGGCCACCCCGCCUCGCGCUCCGCCUCCUCCCGCGCUCCGCGCGCCCGCGGACUGGAGCGGCGGCCGCCGCCGCCGCCGCCUUCUCCUCCUCUUCCUGGGCGCCCGCAGCUCUCGAGAGAACUGUGCCAAGUUCCUCCUUGGAGAGGCAGCCAGAUGGACACCCAGAACUUUCCGUAUCUUCGUGUCGAGGAUGAAAAUCUGGUUAAAACAAAUGUAGACGUUGACAAGCACAAUCUACAAAAAGGAGAGAAAAGGAAAAGAAAUAACCUAUUGGUGGUCCUCAAAGGGAUGGAGAGAAUUUAGAACCAGACUUCUACCAGGCAAAAUGGCAUUCACCCCAGGCUAGAGAGCAUCGGAGUGAUGAGCAGAGUGCACAAAAGAUGUCCUGUUAUCAUCACCCAAAGGAAUGUUUUAAUUGGUCGCUCGUCCUUUUCAGAAAGCUGAGUCAUUCUCCAGUUAGCUGUAAGGUAGGUUCUUGCAAUCAGAUAGAAAUCAAAUACCAGACAUCCUAUUUUCUGUGUCUUUGUAUCCCCUGCAAUGUCUUAGCAGUGGUUUUGAGAGAGAUAUAAAUAAAUGAAUGGUUGGAUAAGCCA
rnacentral:lncRNA from 1 species